CUGCACAUUUCCCUGUGAAAAGGAAGUUCGCCGUCCCCGCUAGAAGUCAUUCUCUCUCUCUUGAGGUAAUCGCCACACACCAGCUUAUGCCAUGUAAAAGCCCAAAGUAAAAUGGCUUUUGGAGUGCAAGUGCAGAAUCAUUGCUAUAAGGCUUUCUACUUGGCCUUAUUCUAACUUCUAAGCUCCUUCUUCGUAAUCAUUAUGCCAGGAUUGUUAACAAUGGCAGCCAUGUGGUCUAACUACCUCAUGUAGUCAUCCUUUCAGUCAGACUGCUGGAAUGACCACGUGAGAUGGAUCCCCUGGUGAUUGCUCUCUGCACGUGUUUUGGGGGGGGAGAUUGACAUAUUUUGGUUUACUUUCACGUAGUGUUAGAGGACUGUCUCUGUUCUGGUCUUCGAUUGGUCAAACCAGCUUGAUCAUAUCCUAAUGAUCACUGUAUUGCCGUAGAUGUACGUACAUAUAGGGUAACAUCCCCUGAAGUUUUGAUUAAUACAUGUUUCAUGACAACUUUUGACAGAAUACCUGUAUAUUCCUAUACACAUGUUUUUUUUUUUCGUUUUCUUUUUCAAACAAGUUUCACUUAAGGCCUUGCGAAAGGGAGACAGAGAGCCAUAUACAAAUGUGGGUUUAAAUUCAGGAAAACUUAACUGUCAAUGCUUUUGAAAAUUGAUUUCUUUUAAAACUAUUUUCAGUAAUUUUGAAUAUCAGUUUGAUCCUCUUUGAUAUGAAUAAUUUUACUGUCUUUUUGUGCAUUUGAUGAGUAAGACAGUAAUUGUUUUAUUUUUCUGUUGGUUUGUGUUUGACAAAGAUAAAUGUAUUGCAUAUGUACUUAGAAAGUGUUAAUAUGUUGUCUGACUAAAAUAUAAAUUCUAUAAAUCAAUGGGAAAGAUUAUAUGAAAGACCACUUUGUUUUAGAAAAUGUGGGUUUUGGGAGGGAUGAAGGACUGGAGUAUAUUUUGUAUAGUGCAACAGAGUUGCCAAAGCAGAGAGAUCAGAAGUAUUCAAGCAGCCAGUUACAUUUACAGUAGCACUUAUUAUCCAAUUAUAGUACCUAUUUUUAAAUAUAUUUUGUAAUGGUCUAGGCUUUGGUCUCUUGUAUAUUGCUGUGAGGAUUAACCAGUCAUUUAAAAAUAGAUUUAAAAAAAGGUAUUUGUGUGAAAGUAAUCUACCAGAGAAUUUGCACUACCACGUUUCAUAAUGAAUAGGAAAGGAGGUAGGUCUGUACUCAAGUCUUUGCAGUGAAAGAAAAUAAAUUGUAGUUUUUCACUGCAAACACUAAAUAUUGACCUGCCUCAUUUCAGAUUGAUUUGUUUUGGUCUACGAACCACAAAACGGCCUACAAGAAUCUACAAAUAUAUGUUAAUUCACUACCUCAUCUCAACCUCAUACUGGUUGAGAGAGUAUUUUCUGUAUAAAAUACAUGCAAAUAGUAUCUUUAAAGAUUGAGGGCAGAUCAUAUUUCACUGGUAUAUGGCUUUCAUUAAAGUCUGUUCUGUUUGUAUUUCAGUUCUGUACAUGUAAUCCAAAUGUAAAGAAUAUAUACAUUGUCUAUUUGUUUACAAAAUAGUUUGUAUUACCGCUGUCAAUGUCAAUAUUUUCACCAAUUUGAUUAAAUGUUGGACUAAAAUGUCUGUAGUUCUGGUUGCUCUAGUUUCACUUCACGACCUCCUAGAUGAUUAUCAAAUGUUUCUCCAGAUAAACCUGUUCAUAAAAUAAAAGGUUGCUCAAUCAUUUCUCA
ensembl:lncRNA